rnacentral:rRNA from 1 species
AAUGAACGCUGGCGGCAGGCCUAACACAUGCAAGUCGAACGGAUCCUUCGGGAUUAGUGGCGGACGGGUGAGUAACGCGUGGGAACAUACUCAAAGGUACGGAAUAGCCUCGGGAAACUGGGAGUAAUACCGUAUGGGCUCGAAAGGGGAACGAUUUAUCGCCGUUGGAUUGGCCCGCGUUGGAUUAGGUAGUUGGUGGGGUAAUGGACUACCAAGCCGACGAUCCAUAGCUGGUUUGAGAGGACGAUCAGCCACACUGGGACUGAGACACGGCCCAGACUCCUACGGGAGGCAGCAGUGGGGAAUCUUAGACAAUGGGGGAAACCCUGAUCUAACCAUGCCGCGUGAUCGAUGAAGGCCUUAGGGUUGUAAAGAUCUUUCAGGUGGGAAGAUAAUGACUGUACCACCAGAAGAAGUCCCGGCUAACUCCGUGCCAGCAGCCGCCGUAA